rnacentral:rRNA from 1 species
AGCGAACGCUGGCGGCAGGCCUAACACAUGCAAGUCGAACGGAUCCUCCGGGAUUAGUUGCGGACGGGUGAGUAACACGUGGGAACGUGCCCUUUGGUUCGGAACACCUCAGUGUAACUUGAGCUAAUACCGGAUGUGCCCUUCGGGGGAAAGAUUGAUCGACAUUGGAGCAGCGGGCGUCGUAUUAGCUUGGUGGUGAUGUAACGGCCGAUCACGGCGUCGCUCAUUAGCUGGGCUGAGAGGAUGAGCAGCCACACUGGGACUGGGACGCGGCCCAGAAUCCUAGGGGAGGGAGGAGAGGGGAAUCUAGCGAAAUGGGGGAGGGGCAGAAGCCGCCCGGGCGCGUGAAUGAUGAAGGUGUGAGGAUUGUACAAUUGUUUCAGCGGCGACGGUACUGACGGUACCCGAAGAAGAAGCACCGGCUAACUUCGUG